AUGAAGAAGAAAGAAAGAAAGAAAGAAAGAAAGAAAGAAAGAAAGAAAGAAAGAAAGAAAGAAAGAAAGAAAAAAGAAAAGAAAAGAAAAGAAAAGAAAAGAAAAGAAAAGAAAAGAAAAGAAAAGAAAAGAAAAGAAAAUUCUUCCCAGCCACCUCUUGGGUUUCACGAGGGCCCUGGACAACUACCUGGUGUGCAAAUGUUCUGUUCCUCACCUCACAUAAAACAAAUCCUGAGACUCAAACACAAAGAACCUAAGAGAGGUCCAUGCUCCCCCGUGAGAUGGAUGGAGCAAGUUUCUAAGGCCGCCAGACAGUCUGAUCCUCCCGAACACCACCGCGGGGCGCUGCUGCUCCGCCCAGGGGCGAGUUUACUUUGGCACCAAAAAGGAAAUCCAGGGUUUAAACUUGCCUCCGCAGGAAACCAAAAGAUGAUUCAGGCCGCCCUGAGCUGGGCGAGCAGGACACUUUGCUGGGACCCACCUGCCCCGCAGCACCUGCGCCUCCCCGCCCCCCCAGGCCUGCUCGCUGGCAGUGUAAGCAGCAAAGAGGGAGGGGGGUCCCCGGAAAAGGAAACCGGACACAGCUUUCCCGCCACAGGAGAGAAGUUCAUUCUAGGCCUUCGGCUAUGCUUGGCACCUUGCCCUGCUGCCUCUACUUACCCAGCCCUCCGCCGCAAGAGCUUCCUAGGAGGUGUUAGAUUUACAAGGGAAUGNNNNNNNNNNNNNNNNNNNNNNNNNNNNNNNNNNNNNNNNNNNNNNNNNNCGUCUUUGCCUGGCCUGGGCACAGCCCAAGCAAAACAGAGGCCACGAAUCGGUGAUCGGACUCCUUUGCUUCCCAACCUCGCUGUUUCAAAGCGAAGGCUGACCUCCGCCGCUCGCGGGCGGGCACCGGGGCCCUGGACCCCCGCAGACUGGAGUCACCCCGAGGCCUCCAUCCCCCAGGACCCGGGCUCCGCCCACCUAGGGCGCCUUCGCCCCCGCCCCACACGGAACUUUCUUUCUUUCUUUUUUUUUUUUUCUAAGAUUUUAUUUAUUUAUUCAUGA
rnacentral:lncRNA from 12 species